CAACAUGACCUUCAUCAUCAUCUUCAUCUGGACUCUCACAGCGUUUGCUCAAGAGUGUAGAGGACAGAUCACCGUCACUCAGAGUCCCUCAAUGACAGCAGCUCAACCAGGACAAACUGUGAACAUCAUCUGUAAAACCAGCACAGAUGUGGCUAGUUAUUCUGGAACAUACUUUUUUAGCUGGUACUUACAGAAACCUGGAGAAGCUCCUAAACUCCUGAUUUAUUAUGCAAACCUCCUCCAGUCAGGAACUCCAUCUAGAUUCAGUGGCAGUGGAUCUAAC